UACGUAGGGUGCAAGCGUUAAUCGGAAUUACUGGGCGUAAAGCGUGCGCAGGCGGUUUUGUAAGUCAGAUGUGAAAUCCCCGGGCUUAACCUGGGAACUGCGUUUGAAACUACAAGGCUAGAGUGUGGCAGAGGGGGGUGGAAUUCCACGUGUAGCAGUGAAAUGCGUAGAGAUGUGGAGGAACACCGAUGGCGAAGGCAGCCCCCUGGGUUAACACUGACGCUCAGGCACGAAGGCCAGGGGAGCAAACGGG
rnacentral:rRNA from 1 species